CCUACGGGAGGCAGCAGUGAGGAAUAUUGGUCAAUGGACGAGAGUCUGAACCAGCCAAGUAGCGUGAAGGAUGACUGCCCUAUGGGUUGUAAACUUCUUUUAUAUGGGAAUAAAGUUUUCCACGUGUGGGGUUUUGUAUGUACCAUAUGAAUAAGGAUCGGCUAACUCCGUGCCAGCAGCCGCGGUAAUACGGAGGAUCCCGGCGUUAUCCGGAUGUAUUUGGUUUAAAGGGAGCGUAGGUGGAUUGUUAAGUCAGUUGUGAAAGUUUGCGGCUCAACCGGAAAAUUGCAGUUGAAACUGGCAGUCUUGAGUACAGGAGAGGUGGGCGGAAUGCGUGGUGUAGCGGUGAAAUGCUUAGAUAUCACGAAGAACUCCGAUUGCGAAGGCAGCUUACUGGACUGCAACUGACACUGAGGCUCGAAAGUGUGGGUAUCAAACAGGAUUAGAUACCCCGGUAGUC
rnacentral:rRNA from 1 species